ensembl:lncRNA
AUUUAUUGUACAAAUUCCCUGAAAAGAUGCACGUUCCAGGAUGAAUUGGGCUGAGAUGGCAGAGGACAGCUGAUUUGGAACGGAACAACAGCUGUUCGCUUUCACGGGGGAAAACUAAGGAACUUCAACCUACUUAGGCCUACUAAUUAACGUUCAAAAGCUAUAAUUUUUUUUUUAAAAAUAUGCAGAUACUGUCAAAAUCUGUAUUCGAAGCCUGCAAAAUGGCAUUCGGGCCAGCCCUAAUCAGGGACGCGGGAAGUCAGUCCGAGGUGGGGGGUGCUGAGAGAGAGCCUAUAUAAUGACGUCAUAAUAAAUGGUGAGCAACAUCCAAUGUUUACUGAGACGAGAUGACGGGUGACGUCACAUUCAGGGCUCCGCUCUGAUAAACACUCUACUGGUGUGUAAAAAGAGUUCUGCCAACUAGCCACUGUUAUUCACAAACAUUAGCAAGUAAACAAUGUGGAAAUUAGAGUCAACUCGGCUGAUACUGUGCUGAAUUUCACACACUAACAACAUGCCGACAAGCUGUUGCGGUCCGGGAUUAUACACAGCGUUAUAACAAGGAUUCAGGAGUUUAUUUCUAAAGGUUUACAAAGGAAAGUGAACCGUCCGUCUCUGCUCUUUUUUUGCCAACCAGUUUACGUGCGGGAUUCCAGAAUCAAAACGAUAACAUUCAACGUGUCUAUUAAUAUGGCAGGAACAUUUUACAACAGUUUUAGAAUGUUCACUACAACAGAUGUUGAACACCAACAUGCUUACGUAAAAUCAGCAUAGUACCAUAUUCAGCUAUGGACAGUUCUGCGUUGUGCGUCAUAGCCUACGUCAGCCUACACAGACAAUGUUCUAAAUAAAAUGAAAUGAUAAUAUGAUAAAUAUCAUAAAAAGGGUGGAUGUCAAUAAUUUUAUGAAAAUUCAUGUUGUAUGAUCAAAAUAUACAAAAAAAAACAUUCUCACUUGCAGUUACAGCCAGGUGCCGCCAGGGGGGGGGGUGCUGCAGCACCCUAAGCACCCCCAUUUCCCGCGUCCCUGGGUAACAAUGUUGUUUUUUAUUGGUCGUCAUGAAAAAAUCAUAAGGGGUUACACUGUUGUUUUUUAUUGGUCGUCAUGAAAAAAACAAAAGGGGUAACACUGUCGAUAUUUAUCAAAUAAAACAUAGGGGUUAACAACUGUUGUUUUUCUUUGGUCGUCAUGGAAAAAACCACAAGGGGUAACACUGUCGUUUUAAUCAAAUGAAACAUGAGGGGUAACACUGUCCUUUUUAUUCGGUCAUCAUGAAAACAACAUAAGGGGUAACGCUGUCGAUAUUAAUCAAUUAAAACAGGGGGUAACACUGUCGUUUUUAUCAAAUGAAACAUGAGGGGUGACACUGUCAUUUUUCUUUGGUCGUCAUGAAAAAACCCAUAAGGGGUAACACUGUUGUUUUUUAUUGGUCGUCAUGAAAAAAUAUAUAAGGGUAACACUGUUGUUUUUUAUUGGUCAUCAUGAAAAAAAACAUAAGGGGUAACACUGUCGAUAUUUAUCAAUUAAAGCAUAGGGGGUAACACUGUCGUUUUUAUCAAAUGAAACAUGAGGGGUGACACUGUCGUCUUUCUUUGGUUGUCAUGAAAAAAAACAUAAGGGGUAACACUGUCGAUAUUUAUCAAUUAAAACAUAGGGGGUGACACUGUCGUUUUUCUUUGGUCGUCAUGAAAAAAAACAUAUGGGGCAACACUGUUGUUUUUUAUUGGUCGUCAUGAAAAAAAACAUAAGGGGUAGCACUCUUGUUUUUUAUUGGUCGUCAUGAUAAAAACAUAAGGGGUAACACUGUUGUUUUUUAUUGGUCGUCAUGAAAAAAAACAUAAGGGGAACACUGUUGUUUUUUAUUGGUCGUCAUGAAAAAAACAUAAGGGGUAACACUGUUGUUUUUUAUUGGUCGUCAUGAAAAAAGCAUAAGGGGUAACACUGUUGUUUUUUAUUGGUCAUCAUGAAAAAAAACAUAAGGGGUAACACUGUUGUUUUUUAUUGGUCAUCAUGAAAAAAAACAUUAGGGGUAACACUGUUGUCUCUGUCAAAUAAAAUAUAAGGGGUAACACUUUCUUUUUUUAUCAGUCGUCAUGAAAAAACCAUAAGGGGUACCACUGUUGUUUUUUAUUGGUCGUCAUGAAAAAAAACAUAAAGGGUAACACUGUUGUCUUUGUCAAAUAAAAUAUAAGGGGUAACACUGUCGUUUUUUAUUGGUCGUCAUGAAAAAAAUCAUAAGGGAAAUAAUAGAAAUACACACAUACAUUUUAAUGUCAUGUAUAUCCUCUUUAUUGAUGAUUGAUUAUUGUGUAUUGUCAUCGCCUCAGUGGUGCAGUGGAGUGCACUCUGCCUAACCCACUGGAGACCGUGGCUCAAUAUCUGUGGAAAAUCACAAUAUCUUUAAUUUUAAACGUAAUGCUAUCAUGUCUAUUGCAUUGUCAUAUAUAACCUCAGACAUAAUUUAAAUACAAAUCUCUGUGGGAAGUGGAGAGAGCUGUGAGCUAACCCCCUGGAGACAGGGGUUCAAGUCCGGUUGAUGUCGUCAGUUGGAAGACUCUUAUCUCUAUUUCAUGUGAAUUAUAAAGUCAAGUAUAACCUUUGUGAUGACUGUACCUUGUGUCUCGAUGGUGCAUUGUUAAGUUCAGAGGUUAACACGCUAAACAGCUAAUGAUCGGAUCCCUGCAAAAACGUCGACAGGGGUGCGACUGUUGUUAUG